AGAACGAACGCUGGCGGCAGGCCUAAAACAUGCAAGUCGAACGCUCUAGCAAUAGAGAGUGGCGCACGGGUGCGUAACAUGUGGGAAUAUGCCUUUUGGUACGGAACAACUUUUGGAAACGAAAGCUAAUACCGUAUGGUCCCUUCGGGGUAAAGAUUUAUCGCCAAAAGAGUAGCCCGCACUGGAUUAGCUAGUUGGUAAGGUAAUGGCUUACCAAGGCGACGAUCCAUAGCUGGUCUGAGAGGACGAUCAGCCACACUGGGACUGAGACACGGCCCAGACUCCUACGGGAGGCAGCAGUUAGGAAUCUUGGACAAUGGGCGCAAGCCUGAUCCAGCCAUGCCGCGUGAGUGAUGAAGGCCUUCGGGUUGUAAAGCUCUUUAGUCCACGAAUAUAAUGACUGUAGUGGAAGAAUAAGCCCCGGCUAACUUCGUGCCAGCAGCCGC
rnacentral:rRNA from 1 species